rnacentral:rRNA from 1 species
UACGUAGGGUGCGAGCGUUGUCCGGAAUUAUUGGGCGUAAAGAGCUCGUAGGCGGUCUGUCGCGUCGAUCGUGAAAACUUGGGGCUUAACCCUGAGCUUGCGGUCGAUACGGGCAUGACUGGAGUUCGGCAGGGGAGACUGGAAUUCCUGGUGUAGCGGUGAAAUGCGCAGAUAUCAGGAGGAACACCGGUAGCGAAGGCGGGUCUCUGGACCGGUUCUGACGCUGAGGAGCGAAAGCUAGGGGAGCAAACAGG